AGGUGCGAUCAUACCAGCACAAAUGUACCGGAUCUCAUUAGAACUCCGCAAUUUAGCGUGCUUGGGCGAGAUUAGUACUAGGAUGGGUGACCUCUUUGGAAGUCCUCAUGUUGCACCCU
rfam:Gossypium raimondii chromosome 6, whole genome shotgun sequence.